AUAGCCUACGGGGGGCAGCAGUGGGGAAUAUUGCGCAAUGGGCGAAAGCCUGACGCAGCGACGCCGCGUGUGGGAUGAAGGUAUUCGGAUCGUAAGCCUCUGUCAGCAGGGAAGAACGGUCACUGUGCUAAUCAGCAGUGAAUUGACGGUACCUGCAAAGGAAGCACCGGCUAACUCCGUGCCAGCAGCCGCGGUAAUACGGAGGGUGCGAGCGUUAAUCGGAAUUACUGGGCGUAAAGCGCUCGUAGGCGGUAUGUCAAGUCAAGGGAGAGAUACCCGCGCUCAACGUGGGAACUGCCUUUGAA
rnacentral:rRNA from 1 species